UAUAUGUUGCCCUGUGACAGGCUGGCGUGCUGUCUAGGGUGUACCCCACCUCACGCCCUAUGACUGCUGGGAUUGGGUCCAGCCCCCUGUGACCCUUAAUUGG